CAUAACUGGGUUCUGUUUUUGGCAUACCACCCCAUUGUUUGGGGUCCACUCACAGCCCUUCCUUUAUGGUUAUUACCACAUUUGGGACACAGUGCACCUUAUGUACACUUCACGGUCACAACCCUACUAUCCCUUGCCCUACACCUUUAGACAAUUUUUCAUGUUUAAUAUAUAUAUUUAAUAUUUUUUAUUUAUCAUCUUUUCAUAUUUUUGUAUUACAACUGUUCACGAUAUAGCUAUUAUCAGCUUCUACAAUUUUUAAUUUUCACAGAUCAUCAUACUUAUGUUAAGGCACAUUAACUUCCAUGUAUCCAUGAGGCCGCCAUCUUGGACAUCUAGCUUUAUACUGGAUCAUUUUCCAUCCUUGUGGUGGGGUUGGCCCACCUCAGCUCCCGUGGGCUGUUACCUUCCCGGCUACGUUUCUGCCCUCCUAGUCUGUACCUUCGGUUUUGACAUACCCACAUCUACCUCAUACUCUGCUCCUGAGGAGUGGCACUAGCCACGAAACGCGUUGAGCCAAUAGACGCCCCCCCUCUCAUUCGUUGCCAUUACACCUUUACCAACGUUCUACAGAUCGAUUGUAUUUUAUAUACUUCUCAACUAUGGGUGUUAUUACUAUGGAGGAGCCACCAGAUGCCCCCCCCCCCCAUGCCCGUUGCUAAUGUACUAAUUAUUAUCAUACACAUCGUCUAUAUGAUCGAUUGUGGUCACUAUUACUGUGGAGUUAUUCCAACGAAUUUGAUCUCAUUUAAUGUUUAUACUAUGCAUUAACUUUUAUUGUUAGGAGCCAUUAGAAGCCCCUCUGGUUUAUAUAUGAUAUCUUUUACCAACUAAUUUCCUCUCUACACCAGUGGAGUGUACCAACGUAUCAAUAUUCAUUUAUCAUGGAGAUACUUUCCAGUGAUUUGGCCUCUUUUGAUAUCGUUUCCAGCAUGAACCUAUUAUAUUUAUUUAUUCCUACCAUUGUUACCAUGAACUGUUGAAAUGUAUGCAAUUUUCUUUGAUUAUUGUAACGGAUCUACCAUGCUACUAUUGUAUCUACUGUAUAUAUAAUUUUUAUACUAUUAAAUAACUGACUGUU